CCUACGGGUGGCAGCAGUGGGGAAUCUUGCACAAUGGGCGAAAGCCUGAUGCAGCAACGCCGCGUGAGCGAUGAAGGCCUUCGGGUCGUAAAGCUCUGUCCUCAAGGAAGAUAAUGCCGGUACUUGAGGAUUAAGCCCCGGCUAACUACGUGCCAGCAGCCGCCGUAGUACGUAGGGGGCUAGCUGUAUCCGGACUUACUGGGCGUAAAGGGUGCGUAGGUGGGUUGUUAAGUCAGAGGGGAAUGGGUACGGUUAAACCGUAGUAAGCCUUUGAAACUGGGGCACUUGAGUGCAGGAGAGGAGAGUGGAAUUCCUGGUGUAGCGGUGAAAUGCGUAGAUAUUAGGAGGAACACCAGUUGCGAAGGCGGCUCUCUGGACUGUAACUGACACUGAGGCACGAAAGCGUGGGGAGCAAACAGGAUUAGAUACCCGAGUAGUC
rnacentral:rRNA from 1 species